AAGCGUGGCUGUCCAAGCCUCCACCA
rnacentral:snRNA from 1 species